rnacentral:rRNA from 1 species
AGAGUUUGAUCAUGGCUCAGGACGAACGCUGGCGGCGUGCUUAACACAUGCAAGUCGAACGGAGUUUAUAGGCGGAAGCCUUCGGGUGGAAAGGCUGUAAACUGAGUGGCGGACGGGUGAGUAACGCGUGAGCAAUUUGCCCUUUUGGAGGGAAUAACAGCCGGAAACGGUUGCUAAUACCGCAUAAGACACGUUGGAGGCAUCUCCGGGGUGUGAAAGGAGAAAUCCGCCAAAGGAUGAGCUCGCGUCCCAUUAGGUAGUUGGUGAGGUAACGGCUCACCAAGCCGACGAUGGGUAGCCGGACUGAGAGGUUGGCCGGCCACACUGGAACUGAGACACGGUCCAGACUCCUACGGGAGGCAGCA